GAAGUCGAAAUCCGCUAAGGAGUGUG
rnacentral:ncRNA from 3 species